UCUGGCUCAGGAUGAACGCUAGCGACAGGCUUAACACAUGCAAGUCGAGGGGCAGCAUAAAAGUAGCAAUACUUGGUGGCGACCGGCGCACGGGUGAGUAACGCGUAUGCAACCUACCUAUCAGAGGGGAAUAACCCGGCGAAAGUCGGACUAAUACCGCAUAAAACAGGGGCACCGCAUGGUGAUAUUUGUUAAAGAAAUUCGCUGAUAGAUGGGCAUGCGUUCCAUUAGGUAGUUGGUGAGGUAACGGCUCACCAAGCCGACGAUGGAUAGGGGAACUGAGAGGUUGGUCCCCCACACUGGUACUGAGACACGGACCAGACUCCUACGGGAGGCAGCAGUGAGGAAUAUUGGUCAAUGGGCGGGAGCCUGAACCAGCCAAGUCGCGUGAAAGGAAGAAGGAUCUAUGGUUCGUAAACUUCUUUUGCAGGGGAAUAAAGUGCAGGACGUGUCCUGUUUUGUAUGUACCCUGAGAAUAAGGAUCGGCUAACUCCGUGCCAGCAGCCGC
rnacentral:rRNA from 1 species